AGUGGAUCCUGAAUCUACACACUGUGACAUCUGUCUAGUGUAGUCCACGAGGGGACAAACGUGCUGGAAGCCAGAGACACAAACCCAGAACAGGACCCAAACAAGCACUACUGGAGAUAAAAGAGUCAAACACACCGGGUCAGUGUUCUUUCCGGGGUGUCUAAGAUUGAACUAGGGGCUCCCUGGACUUAUACUAAGAACAGGGGAGAGGAGGAUCAAAAGAGAAAGUGGUGGUCCCCAAAGAUGAACUCUUUCAGGAAGGCAGCCCCAAGAAAACACUCACUUUCCUGAGACUAAAAGGCCAGAAGAGCGGCUGGUGGGAGGUACAAAGGUAAGUUUUCUGGGUACAGAGGGGAGACACGCAUUAGCAGGAAGAAGGGACCCCAGAAGUGCAGGUCGCAGGAGAAGGGGGUGCUGAAUUAAAACUAUAUUUGUCAGCCAUGUUGAAGAAGCUCCUGUAAUUUGUGAGGCUUCCCUCUUCCCUCUUAGUAUUUGUGGGUGACAUGACAGUCCCCGCAAGGCCGAGAGAAAGAGAGGGAGAUUGGAAAGGGACCAUUCCGCAGCCGUCAAGAGCGAGGAAAGAAAGAGAGAGAGAGAGACAGGCGCGGACCUCAGCGCUCUGACCUGGUUCUGGUCCCUCAGCCUCGCAGUCCACCGCCGUCGCAGCCGGGUCUCCUUUCUAACAAAUCCUACAGGGCAGCCAUCUUGCUUCCUUCUGCUCCUCUACGAAAGCAGCCUCGCCUCCGCAUCAAUAUUCAUAAGGCAGUUUGACGUCUGUUCUCUAGGCUCGGCGGGGCCGGCUCUCCGGCGGCCGCCGAGGGGGCGGACGUGACUGGCAUGCGAGCGGCGCGGGCGCGAGCGCGGCGGGACCUGGGGCCGUGCGCUCGCUCCCUCGCGGGAACGCGGCGGGACCCGGGGCCGUGCGCUCGCUCCCUCGCGGGGACGCGGCGGGACCCGGGGCCGUGCGCUCGCCCCCGCGCGGGGCUAGGGGCCCUCCUCGGCUCGGCUCCUCCCCGGCCUUUCCUGAGCCCCGGGUGCCGCCGGCCGCACACCCACGCGUGGGCGGCCUCCGCGCCUCUGUCUCCCGCGGGGGCCGCGUAGGCACUUGGAAACUCUGCGCCCUCCCGCGCGCUCCAGGGGCCCCUGGCUCCCCGCGCUCCCGCUGCCAGCACCUCACCAGUCGCCUCCCCACUCGCCCCCACACCCUGCCACCCCCUUCCCUGUCGCCCAGCCAAGUCGCUCCCCAUUUCCCCAAAGGCCGUGCCGGGAGAGCUAGAGGGGCCUGGGCGCUAAAGUCUCCACUCUGCAGCAAUCCGGCGGCGCCGGGGCUCUCCCCGCCCAGGCCCACCUUCUGUUUACUUUGGCCACGUGGGCCGCGCAGGGGGUGCUGUCUCGCAGAGCCCAGAAGAGCGGCGUCACCGAGCCCCUGCUUGUCACUCGAAAGAAUUAAGCCAGCAGUUUCUAAUGUUCAAGGCGCCCCCACUCUUGCCUGUUUCUUGAGAUAACUGACUGUCUUAGAAGCAGCUGAAGAGAUGGCUCAGCAGGCCAGAGCCCUUGUUGCUCUUGAUGGGGAUGAGAGAUCAGGCCUCAACACUCUCAGGGCUGCGCACAGCCUCCUGUGACUCCAGCCUGAGGAGAAGGCAUGUCCCAAUCAUCUGUGACAGCCCCAGGAGAAUGAGUGUCCCCUUCUGGCCUCUGCAGUCACUUCCCUCAUGAUAUAUAUGUAGAGAAAACACUCAUGUGUUUCAAAUAAAGAUAAGUCUUUUUGA
ensembl:lncRNA